CUUCAUCCGAUCCCUAGUCGGCAUAGUUUAUGGUUAAGACUACGACGGUAUCUGAUCGUCUUCGAUCCCCUAACUUUCGUUCUUGAUUAAUGAAAACAUCCUUGGCAAAUGCUUUCGCAGUAGUUAGUCUUCAAUAAAUCCAAGAAUUUCACCUCUGACAAUUGAAUACUAAUGCCCCCAACUAUCCCUAUUAAUCAUUACGUCGAUCCUAGAAACCAACAAAAUAGAAUCGAUCGUCCUAUUUCGUUAUUCCAUGCUAAUGUAUUCAAGCGCGAGCCUGCUUUAAACACUCUAAUUUUUUCAAGGUAACAGUCCUGAUUCCCCACAACACAAAAUUAAUGGCAUUAUGGUUCUUCAAGAAGGAGAGUCCAGUAAGGUUAGUACAUACCUGUGGCACGACCAACUCACUGGCCCCGAAAUUCAACUACGAGCUUUUUAACUGCAACAACUUUAAUAUACGCUAUUGGAGCU
rnacentral:rRNA from 1 species